UGCACUUGUAAUGGUGUUGCUCGCUACAAGUGAUCCCCUUCCUCCCCUUUGAUGUUCAUUCAACUCCUGACGGGUUGACGUGUGUGUGGGCGGUUUCUGCCAGCACGUCCCCCCCCCUCUUCACGCUGCUGUUGGCCGGCUGCCGUUUUGUCCACUGGUUAUAUAGCCAACACAUCGAUCCUACUCUGCAUCUCCUACUGUGCUGUACCUGCCACCGAGUAUGGUGAUUGCUGCCUCACCCUAAGUCUCAUUAUCUUGAUCCAUUCAUUUAACCGACUUCCAACUGAUCUUAUUGAUGAUAUUAUUUGUGUUUUGUGGGUUGCUUUGCAUGGUUGUUUUGGUUUAAUUCGUUUUCUUAGUUAUUUUGGUUUGGCUUAAUUGCUUUAUUUAUCCAUGAUAUUAUUUGUGUUUUGUGGGUUGCUUUGCAUGUUUGUUUUGGUUUAAUUCGUUUUCUUAGUUAUUUUGGUUUGGCUUAAUUGCUUUACUUAUUCAUUUGGAUUUAUCAGUUUGGAUAAAUCUCCUUUACUUAUGAUUUAAACCCCAUUUAGUUAUUUGCUCUUCGCUUUUUGUGUAUUUUGUGUGUGUGUGUGUGUGUGUGUGUGUGUGUGUGUGUGUGUGUGUGUGUGUUCGCUUUAGUGUGUUUGUGUGAACAUAUUUUAUUGAAGUCAUGUUUAAAGAUUACAUAUAUUAAUUAAAGGAAUUGAAUUUG